UACGGGGGGAGCAAGCGUUGUUCGGAUUUACUGGGCGUAAAGGGCGCGUAGGCGGCCACCGCAAGUCAAUUGUGAAAUCUCCGGGCUUAACUCGGAAAGGUCAACUGAUACUGCGGGGCUAGAGUGCGGAAGGGGCAACUGGAAUUCCCGGUGUAGCGGUGAAAUGCGCAGAUAUCGGGAAGAACACCCGUGGCGAAGGCGGCUCUCUGGACCGAGACUGACGCUGAGGCGCGAAAGCGUGGGGAGCAAACAGG
rnacentral:rRNA from 1 species